AGGUAAAUGAAGAUGUGAUCAUUUACAGAAUGAGGUGAACAGAUCAUGAUUUAGAAGAAUUCUGCUUUAAGUUUUGCAUCAAUCAUUUGACAGAAGUUACACAGACUGCAGCAUUUUGGCAAAUGGAUGGCCCUCUGCUAAAGGAAUUUAUUGCUAAAGCCAGUAAAUGUGGAGCCUUUAAGAACUGAAUCCCAAGGCUGCUGGGUUUGUGUGAGUGCUCUGGGGCACAGGUGAAGGUGUGUCGUUUGUGCUCUACAGGUGAUAUAAUUCUGCAGGUAAAAAAGUUUUCAGGUUGUUUCUCCACAUCUGAGACACAGUUUUCUGUGUAGGAAUAUAUGAAGGAUGUAUGGCUUUUCCUGAACCCAUUUGAAAUAAUUCUUUGUUUCCAGAUAUAUGUAUUUUAAAUGUUACUGUAAUUUGGCUAGAACACGUUAAAAGGGUGAAAGUUUAGCUGGCUGUUUUUUUUAGAUUAGACUCUGGACUUGGAAAGGGGACAUUUGUGGCAGCUCCCCUGGCUCACAUAUCAACAACCUUUUUGACACCAGGAGUUGGGACAGUUUGUGAAUUGGGAGAUAGUCAAAAAGUUCCCACCAUGAAUUAAAGAUGCUAAUUUGGGGGCUUGUUGAAAUAUGUGUUAGUUGCUCAUUCAGUACCUUACUGUGAAGGAACAGUGAAGAUCAUUUGAGGCUUUUGUUUGUGUGGUUAUACUGUUAAUGACUUUAACUUCACAGUUUAUCAAAAUAAUGAGUUUAAUAUGAGUUAUACCUAUUGAAAUGAUAGUUAUAUAAAGGUAAAUUUCUAGGUUAGCCAGAAUUCUUCUUAAGCACAUAAAAACUAGUAAUUUAGAUCUUAAAAGUUCAUAAUGAAAGAAAUUUCAUUUGCACAAAGGUGAAUAUUUUAUAAGUUGGAAUCUCCAAUGGUGUUUUAUAAAGAUAAAAUUUGAAAAUUCAAGUUUAAAUUGCAACUGCCCACAUUUUUCCCUAUAUGUACUAAUCAUUAAGAGGAAAAUAAUGACAUAUUCAAUAUAUUCUUGUCUUCCUAAAUUACAGCUGCUUUAUCAUCAGAUCUGCUACAUCUGACUCAAAAGAAGUGGUUCUUAAAACCAACUUUUGGACUUAAUGGAAUUAGUUGUAUCUCUUGUAUCUAGGCCAAAUAUCAUCACAAAUUUGCUUAUUUGAAACUUCACCAGCUUUUUUUAUUUUCCUCUUUCAGUUAUGUUAGGUGUAUAAUACUUAACAAAAUUAAACUUUGAAAAUGGCUCGAAAUUAUUAUUUUCCUGAAAAGGUCCAAAUUUUUUAGGUUUGGUUGUAAAAUGUGACUUUGGGAGGUAAGAGUGUUAAACUUUGAGUUUUAUCAUAUCUACACAUUGAGCUUGCUUUAAGAAUAUAGCUUUAUUCUGCUCUCUGGCCCAUGAACGUAUUUCCAUUUAUGGGAACUCCCUUAGUGAAUUCUGUUUGAUGCUGAGAAUGUCCCCCAUCUGAACUUGGAGGCUUAGUACAUUUUCAGAGCCAAAUUAGCAAGAGGAUGAAGAGAUGCAGCACCUACUAUUUUUAGCAAUGUUUUUAAGUGCGCUUAGAGGUUGAAGUGGGAGUGAGAGCCCAAACAUAGGAAUUCACUGGUAGGUGAAAUAUAUAAAAAACCUAGAAGUCCUAGCCCCUUUUAUGACCGUGUCACAAAUUACUGAAUCCCAAUGAAUUAUUAGGUUAGAAUUCGUUUUGCAACAUGAUAGGAUUUUCUUACUAGGUUGAUAAAUGCACAUUACUUUGUUGAUUAGCUACAAUGGGUAGUAUUUGUAACAAUCACUCUUCUGUAGGCUUUUGAACUGGACAAAACAAGAACUUCAGUAUGUUUAUUAUUCUUACUUGAAAAAAAGCAAGCACAAAAUAAAGGAGCAGAUCCAAUAAAUGAACUAUCUGUAGAUAGUUCAUUCAACAAACAUUUACUGAGUUGCUAAUAUACAUGAAGAACCACUUGUUAUUAGAUUAAUAAUUUGAGUGAGUAUGUAUGUAAUGAAGAGAGGAAUAAGUCCACUGAAAAAUAUUGGAGUAUCUUUUUUUUAACACACUUAUUUUUCUACUUGGUUUUGCUGUUAAUCUUAGCAGGAGAUAAAAACAAUUCAAAUUUUUUUCAUCUUAUAUAAGAAAGCCAAAGUAUUCCUAUUAAAAUAGUGCUAUAUGUCCUCUUGAACUUCUUACUGGAAAAUUUUAUACUCUACUAUAUAGGCUGUAUUUAUGUAAUAUUUAGAAUGACAUAAUAAAGUAAUCUGUUAAUAUA